CACCAGAGGGACCGGGCUGAGAACUGUGAGAAUUAGAGGAUGAGGUCACCAGGAUGCACGGCCGACGAGGGCCUUUUGGGCCCAGGGGUGACCUUGGCCACUGUGGGAAGGCCAAAACACAGAGGAAGUCAGAUGUCGCCUGCCCAGCGGCCCAGCUUUCUCAUCUGUUUCAGACUUGGUCAUGAGGGGUAAAUGCCGUAGCUGUACCUCACCACCUCCUCCCUGGAGCGUCCAGGAGUUAGGUGAGCCUCACUCAGCUCAAGGUCGUGACUCAGAGAAGCUGGCGAGGCAUCCAGAGACACAGAAACCUUGACAGUCAGACAGUGAUUCACAGACAGAGCUCCACUUCGCCUUCUGCAACUGUUACCUUCUCAAAGCUUUCCGUCGGAGAGCUUGAGCAGGCUGGUGCUGCUGGGAAGGUGCCCGCCUCAGAGGUGGCAUCGGAAGGUGGACCUGACAUACCUGGCUGUGGCUUCCCCAGCCUUGGCUCUGGCCUGCCAUUUGGAGCUUAUGAUUCAUUCAGAGCUGCACACACGGACCCUGUAGAUUCACAGUGCUGCAACGUCGCACUCACCCGUCCCAUCGCUGCUCUGCAAAUGCGGUCUUUGCUGGAUUUGGGUCUCCAUUGAGCUGCUGAGGCAAAGCAGUCACAGGAGACAUCCUCGGUUGAGUCGGGAGACAUGAAUUUCUUUGCAUACUCGGGUGCUGACUUUUGUGAGACCACAAGGAAGAACCCAUGUCCUACACCUCUGCAGGGCCAGCGGACUGAAAAACAACAGGGCUGGUUUUACCCCUUAGUCUGUAUUUGAAUGCCAUUCUCGUCCUUCGUGAUACCAGAUUCAGAUAUUAGAGCCAGGACCAGCCACAGAGAGCAGGUAUAAUCACAGUAGCUAUAAAGAUAAGAUUUCAUUCAAAGACUGCAUAGACGCAGAAUGAUUGGAGAGUAUCCCAGGCAAAGCUAAGUCUUGCAGCAAAGGCCAGGGUUGUGAACAGCCAAGGACUAAUUUGGAGAGGGUGUGGAAGGCAGGUGAACAGGGAGAAGAAGAAAACACAAAAGAACUGGGACCACCUUAGGACGCACUGCAGUCUCUUGGGAGGGGCCUCACUGGACUCAGAAAUCUGUGGCUGACCCAGACCCUCUCUGAGAGGUCCUCCUGCCCUGUUGGCAUUCUUGUGACUAAGAUGCAACUUCCUCCUCCCAGCUGGGAGCUGUCCUCAUGCCAGUUCCUGUCGCGGUGGCUCUGUUACCUGUCUCUGCCACAUCCACUUUUUCUUAGGGUCCUCUUCCAGAAAGCCUCCAGGGAAGGGGUCUGGGGUGGAGGGUCUCCAGUGGGUUGAUGGAGGAAAUCUUUCAUCCUCUUCAGAUUCAGAUGUCCGGAUCUUCUGUGCAUCAGGGGCAGCAGCCAAGCACCAAUCUGCCUGCUCAUGGAAAGGCUAGGCCGGAGCCCUGGGCCACCUUAUGACCCACUGCCUGGGGCUGACAGCCACGUAUUUCCAUUAGCUUCUGACACUUUUGCCAAGGCAAGAUCAGAGACAGAGCACUCCCUAGCUAACCAUGCUGACAUCCCAAGUCCUGACCUGGCCCAUAGCAAUAAGCGCUGACUUGGUCUUUCUUAGUCAUGAACUUCUAUAUUUUCAGUAUCCCAGGCUCCCCAGGACCACUGCUGUGCCAAAAUUAAGCCCAUUUACCUGGCCAGUUGAGAUCCUGGACUUUGCAGGAACCUGGAUUCUUUGGCUGCUGCUGGCCAUGGAUUACCUCUUGAAGCAGCGCAGUCUCUGUGCAGGUUUUGGGUCCCCUUGUGUUGCAGGUUCCUGUCCCCUGAACAUUCUUUACAAGUUACUUCUACGUAAACUGGACUUCUCACUCUUGCCUGCGGGCAGUGGGAGUAAUAAUGAACCCAGAGAGGCAUCAGAAAUUGUUAGCUAUCGUGGAGACCUUGCUUUACUCUCCUUAGAGAGCUCCUGGAAAGCGAAUUUCACGCUGCUAGCUCAUAUCCCUCAGGGGAAUCGUUUGGUAAGUACUUGAUAAAAUGUUCUAGACAUAGCCAGUUGCCGUGGACCUCCAGAACACUGAGACACUGAGGAAACGCCUAAGGGUUGUUUGUUCUUUCAUUUGCUUGUUUUCAUUAGCCUUCGCACAAAUGCUGUACUCUCUUUAAUUGUGCACAUUCUGGAUCUGAGAUUUCCUGUUCUUAAGGCCCUUAGUUUAUCUACACACAGUUCUUGGCGAGACAUAAUUUGUUUUCUAAAGAGAAAGAGCAUGUGCCGAGGCACUAGACCACAGGCACAGCCCUGUGCCCUUUCUGUGGACUUCAUCUUGCCCAGUCCAAAGCAAGAGAACCAUUUGAGGGCUCAGCCCCAGUCAGGGGAACGUGGAACUGUUUCUCAAGACUAGUCCUGGGCCACAAGAAACCAGGCGGAUUUUAAGUAUCUGGAUAUCUGCUGGAUGGCGGGUCUCUCAGCCCCAUACUGCCAUCCUCAGUGAGCAGACUGGGCAGUUUUGACCCAGUGACACUGGUUGGCAUUGAGCUGUUGGAACCCCUUGGAGCCCGUGAGUUGGACACCAAGCCAUGCCCACUGAUGAUUCUGCCUCAUUACUUAAGACACGAGUAGCACUGGUUUUCCCAGUGGAACUACGUAACUGGUGUCCUGGUGCACUUCAAAGCCAGCAGACCGCAGAUGGCUUCUCACGAGUUCGGCUGUGUCGAGUUUCUCAUGAUCAGGGUAUGAGUUUUGUCUUCCUCACAGAACCCAAGAGGUCAGAGUUGAUGAGAAACACCAUCCUGGAUAGCUGAUGUGUCGAGAAGAGACUCCUGUAAUCCUAAAUAACUCAGGUCUCGGCCCCUUGGCCUGCGUGCAAAUGCAGCCAACAGGUCUAGGAGAGCGAUGAUGAUCCUCCCAGCAGCACACCCGGCUACGCACCCUCUGGUGUUUAACACCACGUCAAACAGCAGGAUUUGUACGGGACUCAGAUGGAGACAUUUCUCUUUUGCCUUAGUUUGGGCAAAAACUUGAUUUCCAUCAGAUAGCUGUAAUGGAUGGCAAGGACAACAGAGAAAGAAGGCCGAGCCUGAGGCAAAUGCCAGAAGUUUCCCAGAAGGGUAAAUCUUGUUUCCUGCCUGACUUCACAGAAUUAAGCCUGAAACAAGUCAUGUUCUGUGGCUGGAGGCUGUGUUUAUGUCAGCUCUGCCUCCCUGGCUCGUGGCUGGGAACAUUGUCUUGGUCUGUAACUCAGGAAGGUUUUCCUGAAGCGAGAAAUCACUAUUCCUGUGUCUUUAUCUCCCAGUCCAUUUUAUUUGUUCUAUUAAUACGAGCAGACGAGCUCUGAAUGAGAAGUAGAUUCUGAGGAGACAGUGACAUUGGCCAGGUGCAGCCUCAGAGCCAGUGAUUUAGCGCUCUGCUUUGGUAACUGUCAUUCCCAGGAGUUGUAUGAAAGAUGCCUCUUCAUAAAGGAUUUUGUUUUGGAAAGUUAUAACAGCGCCUCAUCUGUGCACAGCACAUUCUCAGUCUGUUCAGGAGAAAAUCCUUUCUGUGGAGUUCAGAGUAGGCUGAGACCUUGUGGUCUCUUGGUGUCUUAAAUGAAACCAAAUCUUCCGGGAAUUGCAUUCGUUUAUGGUUAGUAACAGGCGACUUCCUGUUUCGAAGCAAAAUGGGCUUGAAGAGGCUUAUAAAAAAAAGGCUCAAAAGGUUUCUUGGACAUCAAAUGACUCUAGUAAAACAUUCUGAUGAGUUAAGUGUAAAUGCAUCAGCAGCAUACGGAUUAAAUUCUCUUCUAAAUAAACAUUAACAGAGAACAUGUUUGGCAAAAUGCAUUGCAAGUUUUGCAAAACUGAAAACAUUUCAAAAAGGAGUGUGAGAUAUUUGAUGAACUCAGAAAACACCCGGAUUGCCCGUCCCAUACUGGAAUAUUUUCCUUGGAUGUUCUGCAGAUGUCAAAUAAAUUAGGAUGCAGAUAUUAAAACCAAUGAAGACUGCAGAAAUGAUCAGCUGCCUGUCAUUUGUCAUGGCAGCGUUCCUGUGAAUGCUAUGGUCACACUAGUGUCUCUGAAGAGCACCCCAGGGGCCACGUAACCCUUUCCUCACUUCCCAGCCACGGCUCCCUCCUGCUUAGAGCCUUGCAAAUCCUUCUGUUAGCCUUACCUCUUGGAGCUUUCUUUCUGCUGGUGACCUACUUCGGUUCCCAGAGGGAAUUUCAACUUUGUGAUAUGUCCACAAUGUAAUCGUGAUGCCAGCUGGCAGAGGACAGCUGUGACCUUCUUGGGCCAAUUGUCUUUCAUCCAGAAGCCACAGCUCUUGUCAAGACCCCCACUGUCUCUCAGCAGCAAUCUUCUGACAUGCUCCAAGAUGGAACUGUAACCCUCUUGGGUGGUGGGGGUGCUGGAGGAACAAAAGGAAUGAAGCAGAGGUGACUAAACAUGGAAAAGGCAGAGCAUGUUUAUGCCACGUGAGUUGAAUCCUCUUGAUCAGAUCCUUGGCGAAGCCCCCAACCGAGAGAAACACCCUCGGAGUCGCCUGGUAAUAUAGCUUCCGGGACAGGGAAGAGGCACCUUGGCAUCCUUCUUACAAAAUGCUUGAUUUGUUGCUCAGACUCACAGGACACAUCCUCCCCAUACGUAGAUACCACAGCUUCACAGUCUGUAGUCACCUGGAAUUCAUGACCAUUUUGCUUUAGAAAGCAGAUUCUAAGAAGAUUUAACAGGCAAAUAAA